rnacentral:rRNA from 1 species
GAUGAACGCUGGCGGCGUGCUUAAUACAUGCAAGUCGAGCGAACAGACGAGGAGCUUGCUCCUCUGACGUUAGCGGCGGACGGGUGAGUAACACGUGGAUAACCUACCUAUAAGACUGGGAUAACUUCGGGAAACCGGAGCUAAUACCGGAUAAUAUAUUGAACCGCAUGGUUCAAUAGUGAAAGACGGUUUUGCUGUCACUUAUAGAUGGAUCCGCGCCGCAUUAGCUAGUUGGUAAGGUAACGGCCUACCAAGGCAACGAUGCGUAGCCGACCUGAGAGGGUGAUCGGCCACACUGGAACUGAGACACGGUCCAGACUCCUACGGGAGGCAGCAGUAGGGAAUCUUCCGCAAUGGGCGAAAGCUUGACGGAGCAACGCCGCGUGAGUGAUGAAGGUCUUCGGAUCGUAAAACUCUGUUAUUAGGGAAGAACAAAUGUGUAAGUAACUAUGCACGUCUUGACGGUACCUAAUCAGAAAGCCACGGCUAACUACGUG